AUGAAAAGCACUUUGAAAAGAGGGUGAAAAGAACCUGAAACCGUCACGGGGGAAGCGGAUUGCGUUGGCCUGGUGGGCGCUUGUGUGUUCAGCCUUCGGGUGCAUUGGCACAAGUGCUUAUCCGCCGUGGGUUUCUGGGGGUCGAUUUUGGACCUCUGGAGGCUGAGGGCUCCCUUCGGGUGAGGACGGCGGAGUGACGACGCGAUACGACCCGUCUUGAAACACGGACCAAGGAGUCUAGCGCGGGUGCGAGUCGGAGGGUGCAAGCCCGUGGGCGAAGUGAAAGCGAGUUUUAAAACGAGCAGUUUGGGGCGGCAUAAGAUCGUUGAUCUUAAGACUGACCCGGAGCAGUUGCGCUGGGACCCGAAAGAUGGUGAACUAUGCCGGAGUAGGGCAAAGCCAGAGGAAACUCUGGUGGAGGCUCGUAGCGGUGCUGACGUGCAAAUCGCUCGUCCAACUUGGGUAUAGGGGCGAAAGACUAAUCGAACCAUCUAGUAGCUGGUUCCCUCCGAAGUUUCUCUCAGGAUAGCGGGCCGACAAAGUUGUUUUGUGCGGUAAAGCG
rnacentral:rRNA from 1 species